CCUACGGGGGGCAGCAGUGGGGAAUAUUGCACAAUGGGGGAAACCCUGAUGCAGCGACGCCGCGUGAGUGAAGAAGUAUUUCGGUAUGUAAAGCUCUAUCAGCAGGGAAGAAGAUGACGGUACCUGACCAAGAAGCCCCGGCUAACUACGUGCCAGCAGCCGCGGUAAUACGUAGGGGGCAAGCGUUAUCCGGAUUUACUGGGUGUAAAGGGGGGGUAGACGGCAGUGCAAGCCUGGAGUGAAAGCCCGGGGCCGAACCACGGGACUGCUCUGGAAACUGCAUGGCUGGAGUACAGGAGAGGUAGGCGGAAUGCCUAGGGUAGCGGUGAAAUGCGUAGAUAUUAGGAGGAACACCGGUGGCGAAGGCGGCUUGCUGGACUGUGACUGACGUUGAGGCCCGAAGGCGUGGGGAGCAAACAGGAUUAGAUACCCUGGUAGUC
rnacentral:rRNA from 1 species